CACAUUUUUGUGACAAAGCAGAGGAAAGGCAAAGGAGAGGAAGAUAGAGAAACUAAGGGCAAAAUCUUCUUCCAGGAAAUGAGUCAAUCUUCAUUUGCACAGCUAAUCCAUUUGGAGAUUCUAUCAAGCACAGAUCCUAUGCAGCGGUUUUGUUCAACUUCUAGUAUGGCAGCUUGGUUUUCACUAUCUGGUAGGUGUGGAAAAAUUGCCAGGAUUAUUGAAGGUGAAGUUGGAAGUGCUUGAUGAGGUUGACAUGAACGAUUAAAAAUGGGAUCCGACAUAAGACGCAAGACCUGGCCAGAGUUCUCACCACCAGAUUACUAACCUUCCUACAAUGCCAUGGAUUCUGUCAUGACAUGAACCCCACGUAUUGCAAUUCUUCUGCUUUUCACAUGUUGUAAAAUAGCAACCCCACAUGUUUAAACACAAAGUUGUUUCAAGCAUUAUGGGACUAUCUUAUUCAAUUGCAAAUUAUUAGAGUCCAGUACCUAGUACUUAUGAACAAGAAGAGAAAAGUCUUGUGCAAAAUAGAGAGAAACUCCUGUCCUGAUACACAUCCAAAUUUGCAUGAUAUACAAUAGUUGAAACUGCUAAAU